rnacentral:tRNA from 1 species
UGUGGAGCUCAGUGGCAAUAGCUCUCUGCUUCCAUAUGUGAGGUCCUGGGUUCAAUCCCCAGCAUCACAA